AGCUCCAAUAGCGUAUAUUUAAGUUGUUGCAGUUAAAAAGCUCGUAGUUGGAUUUUGGGUUGGUGUGGUCGGUCUGCUUUCUAGUUGAACUGGCUACUCCAUCCUUCUUGCCGGGGACGCGUUCUGGCCUUAAUUGGCUGGGACGCGGAGUCGGCGAUGUUACUUUGAAAAAAUUAGAGUGUUCAAAGCAGGCCUACGCUCUGAAUACAUUAGCAUGGAAUAACGUGAUAGGACUCUGGUCCUAUUGUGUUGGUCUUCGGGACCGGAGUAAUGAUUAAUAGGGACAGUUGGGGGCAUUCGUAUUUCAUUGUCAGAGGUGAAAUUCUUGGAUUUAUGAAAGACGAACUUCUGCGAAAGCAUUUGCCAAGGAUGUUUUCAUUAAUCAAGAACGAAAGUUGGGGGCUCGAAGACGAUCAGAUACCGUCCUAGUCUCAACCAUAAACGAUGCCGACUAGGGAUUGGCGGAUGUUACAUCGAUGACUCCGCCAGCACCUUAUGAGAAAUCAAAGUUUUUGGGUUCCGGGGGGAGUAUGGUCGCAAGGCUGAAACUUAAAGGAAUUGACGGAAGGGCACCACCAGGAGUGGAGCCUGCG
rnacentral:rRNA from 1 species